rnacentral:rRNA from 1 species
UACGAAGGGGGCUAGCGUUGCUCGGAAUCACUGGGCGUAAAGCGCACGUAGGCGGAUUGUUAAGUCAGGGGUGAAAUCCUGGAGCUCAACUCCAGAACUGCCUUUGAUACUGGCGAUCUCGAGUCCGGGAGAGGUGAGUGGAACUGCGAGUGUAGAGGUGAAAUUCGUAGAUAUUCGCAAGAACACCAGUGGCGAAGGCGGCUCACUGGCCCGGUACUGACGCUGAGGUGCGGAAAGCGUGGGGGAGCAA